UUUCAACAUAACAAAAUAAACACAGCCCAGACUAAGCUAUCUAAUCUUCAGCUCACAGCAGGAUGACUUUACAACAGAAUGUCAGAAUCACCAGCUAAAUUCAUUGGGUGCUUACUACUCUCAGGAACUCUCAGGGGUAAAUCCUUGCACUUUCUGAAAGGUGCUGUGAUUGAGAAACAGGAAAUAACUUUUU
rnacentral:lncRNA from 12 species